UGGGGAAUAUUGGACAAUGGGCGCAAGCCUGAUCCAGCCAUGCCGCGUGAGUGAUGAAGGCCCUAGGGUUGUAAAGCUCUUUCACCGGUGAAGAUAAUGACGGUAACCGGAGAAGAAGCCCCGGCUAACUUCGUGCCAGCAGCCGCGGUAAUACGAAGGGGGCUAGCGUUGUUCGGAUUUACUGGGCGUAAAGCGCACGUAGGCGGACUUUUAAGUCAGGGGUGAAAUCCCGGGGCUCAACCCCGGAACUGCCUUUGAUACUGGAAGUCUUGAGGAUGGUAGAGGGGAGUGGAAUUCCGAGUGUAGAGGUGAAAUUCGUAGAUAUUCGGAGGAACACAAGUGGCGAAGGCGGCACACUGGACCAUUACUGACGCUGAGGUGCGAAAGCGUGGGGAGCAAACAGG
rnacentral:rRNA from 1 species